rnacentral:rRNA from 1 species
AGUAAAUAGAUACCCCGGUAGUCCCAGCUGUAAACGAUGCAGACUAGGUGUUUGGACGGCCACGUGCCGUUCUAGUGCCGCAAGGGAAGCUGUUAAGUCUGCCGCCUGGGGAGUACGAUCGCAAGAUUGAAACUUAAAGGAAUUGGCGGGGGAGCACCACAAGGGGUGAAGCUUGCGGUUUAAUUGGAGUCAACGCCGGAAAUCUCACCGGGAGCGACAGCAGUAUGAAAGCCAGAUUGAAGGUCUUGCUAGACGAGCUGAGAGGAGGUGCAUGGCCGUCGCCAGUUCGUGCCGUGAGGUGUCCUGUUAAGUCAGGCAACGAUCGAGACCCGCGUCCUCUGUUGCAACCAGCUUUGUGCUGGGCACACUGAGGAGACCGCCACUGAUAAAGUGGAGGAAGGAGCGGGCCA